AAGUCGUAACAAGGUUUCCGUAGGUGAACCUGCGGAAGGAUCAUUACAAAUCCAUCCACGUCUCAUACUCUGAGACCACGUUGAAAUGUUCCCCAGUGCCUCUGCCCCUCUGUUGGUUUGGUAGUCUUGGUGUAGUGGUGCCCUUUUGGGGGUGCCUCUUCAUCUCUCCUUCCCCUCCUCCUUGGAAGCAUGCUCUGGGCUGUUAAACUAGUUACCUCUGUUGCUCAAAUGUAUCUUGAUUUCGAUCAAAAGAAAACUUGUACAACUUAUAACAAUGGAUCUCUAGGCUCUU
rnacentral:misc_RNA from 1 species